rnacentral:rRNA from 1 species
UACAGAGGGUGCGAGCGUUAAUCGGAAUUACUGGGCGUAAAGCGUGCGUAGACGGUUACAUAAGUCGGGUGUGAAAGCCCCGGGCUCAACCUGGGAAUUGCAUUCGAGACUGCGUAGCUAGGGUGCGGAAGAGGGAAGCGGAAUUUCCGGCGUAGCGGUGAAAUGCGUAGAUAUCGGAAGGAACACCAGUGGCGAAAGCGGCUUCCUGGUCCAGCACCGACGUUCAGGCACGAAAGCGUGGGGAGCAAACAGG